rnacentral:misc_RNA from 1 species
AACGCACAUUGCGCCUCUCUCUCGAGAGGCAUGCCUGUCUGAGCGUCAUUAAAACAUAAAUGGAUCCCAAUUUGGGUUCCGUAUUGGGCGGCUCGCCUUUUGGGGCGUCGUCUUAAAGGUAUUAAGUCUGAUUAGCGGGUGGGUUCCUGUAGGACAAGGCCGCUUUCAAGCUAGAAUUAUAUCUGAAUUUGACCUCAGAUCAGGUAGGAGUACCGCCUGAACUUAA